AACGAACGCUGGCGGCAUGCCUAACACAUGCAAGUCGAACGAGACCUUCGGGUCUAGUGGCGCACGGGUGCGUAACGCGUGGGAACCUGCCCUUAGGUUCGGAAUAACUCCCCGAAAGGGGUGCUAAUACCGGAUAAUGUCUUCGGACCAAAGAUUUAUCGCCUUUGGAUGGGCCCGCGUUGGAUUAGCUAGUUGGUAGGGUAAAAGCCUAUCAAGGCGACGAUACAUAGCUGGUCUGAGAGGAUGAUCAGCCACACUGGGACUGAGACACGGCCCAGACUCCUACGGGAGGCAGGAGUGGGGAAUAUUGGACAAUGGGCGAAAGCCUGAUCCAGCAAUGCCGCGUGAGUGAUGAAGGCCUUAGGGUUGUAAAGCUCUUUUACCCGGGAUGAUAAUGACAGUACCGGGAGAAUAAGCGCCGGCUAACUCCGUG
rnacentral:rRNA from 1 species